GAUGAACGCUGACAGAAUGCUUAACACAUGCAAGUCAACUUGAAUUUGGGUUUUUUAACUUAGAUUUGGGUGGCGGACGGGUGAGUAACGCGUAAAGAACUUGCCUCACAGCUAGGGACAACAUUUGGAAACGAAUGCUAAUACCUGAUAUUAUGAUUAUAAGGCAUCUUAGAAUUAUGAAAGCUAUAUGCGCUGUGAGAGAGCUUUGCGCCCCAUUAGCUAGUUGGAGAGGUAACGGCUCACCAAGGCGAUGAUGGGUAGCCGGCCUGAGAGGGUGAACGGCCACAAGGGGACUGAGACACGGCCCUUACUCCUACGGGAGGCAGCAGUGGGGAAUAUUGGACAAUGGACCAAGAGUCUGAUCCAGCAAUUCUGUGUGCACGAUGACGUUUUUCGGAAUGUAAAGUGCUUUCAGUUGGGAAGAAAAAAAUGACGGUACCAACAGAAGAAGUGACGGCUAAAUACGUG
rnacentral:rRNA from 1 species